rnacentral:rRNA from 1 species
GUGGGGAAUAUUGGACAAUGGGGGGAACCCUGAUCCAGCCAUGCCGCGUGUGUGAAGAAGGCCUUUUGGUUGUAAAGCACUUUAAGCGAGGAGGAGGCUACCGAGAUUAAUACUCUUGGAUAGUGGACGUUACUCGCAGAAUAAGCACCGGCUAACUCUGUGCCAGCAGCCGCGGUAAUACAGAGGGUGCAAGCGUUAAUUGGAUUUACUGGGCGUAAAGCGCGCGUAGGUGGCCAAUUAAGUCAAAUGUGAAAUCCCCGAGCUUAACUUGGGAAUUGCAUUCGAUACUGGUUGGCUAGAGUAUGGGAGAGGAUGGUAGAAUUCCAGGUGUAGCGGUGAAAUGCGUAGAGAUCUGGAGGAAUACCGAUGGCGAAGGCAGCCAUCUGGCCUAAUACUGACACUGAGGUGCGAAAGCAUGGGGAGCAAACAGGAUUAGAAACCCGGGUAGUCC